ACUCAAAUGAAUUGACGGGGGCCCGCACAAGCAGCGGAGCGUGUGGUUUAAUUCGACGCAACGCGCAGAACCUCACCCAGAUUUGACAUGCAGCUGCAAGGCGGUGAAAGCCGCUCGCCUUCGAGGGUGCUGCACAGGUGCUGCAUGGCUGUCGUCAGCUCGUGUUGUGAGAUGUUGGGUUAAGUCCCGCAACGAGCGCAACCCCCGCGGCUAGUUACUCGUGUCUAGCCGGACUGCCCGAUUGGGAGGAAGGUGGGGAUGACGUCAAGUCCGCAUGGCCCUUACGUCUGGGGCGACACACACGCUACAAUGGCGCCGACAAUGCGUUGCGACUGAGCAAUCAGAAGCGAACCGCACAAACGGCGUCCCAGUGCAGAUCGGGGGCUGCAACUCGCCCCCGUGAAGGCGGAGUUGCUAGUAACCGCGUAUCAGCCAUGGCGCGGUGAAUACGUACCCGGGCCUUGUACACACCGCCCGU
rnacentral:rRNA from 1 species